AAUAAUAAUAAUAAUAAUAAAAAGGAGAUCUAGUUGAAAUGAGAUUCUUCACAAAAGUUUGAAGGCUAGUGUCAGCCAGACACAUCUAUCAAGGCUCAAACUAAUUUUCAUUCAUCAGAAAAUAAGCACAAAAGAAUUUACCAAUGCUAAGAUGGUUUUUCUCAGCAAAAACCAUGCCAUAAUUGGGACAAAAGACCAGACCCAUUAUAAAAUAUUUUGAGGGACACCAAAUCUAUAAUACAAACAAACUUAACAAUAAGGAAGUAAGAUCAUUAUGUAUCUGAGCAAAACUACAGAAAAGUAAUCAUUAUCUCCAUCAUAAUAUAAUCACUAAGAACUAGCUCUAUAAAAAUUCCACUGAGAAAUUCUUCUCAUGCAACUGCUCAAGACAAGAGACUACAAAAUGAAGAUUAAAAGGGAAAAAUGACCGCUUGAAUAGUUAACACUGAGAUUAAAAAUGAGCCACACUUAAAAGUCAAAGCAAAUUAUUAUAGGUUCCCAAAAAUUAAGCAGAAAGUAAACAAAAAAGGGAGCAUCAGUCAAGCAUGAUUUGAAUAAAAACGCUGAACUUGAUCCAAAUAAAGCAAAUAGCCAAAUACAUCUUGAAAGAUGAAAAUCUAAAAAUUAAAAAUGAAAAUUGAACAUGCUGCAUGACAUAUGUUCUAGUCUGACAGCAUAAACUUCAGAAUAUGGGUUCUCACAAGCACUAAGAAUGCAACUUUCCCAAAACUACCUGUGAAGAAUGACUACAAAGAUAACCUUUACCCUCUAUUUGGGAGGAGGUAGAGUAUAAUAAGGUUUUAUAAAGUAAAAUUUUUCAAAGUAAGAUUUUUCAUGGUUUACAGAGAUUUAUAUAAUUUUCUAGUGUUUGGGAGGAAAUAAAGGUUUUUCAAAGUGUUUGAAGAUUUUAAAGAGAAAACCUCGUUAACUCACUAAUUUGGUGAGUUGGAAAAUGAAGGUUUUUGGAGGUUUUAAAAACCUCCAAAAACUAUACUUUAAAAAACCUUCUAUCCUCCCAAAUAAAAGUUUAAGGUUUCUAAACCUUGAAAAACCUUCGAUUACUUUCAAAAACUCUUUCCCAAACAAAGGGUUAAAGUUCUUGCAUGAAAAUUAUAUAAUACAAAAAGUUGUAUAGGCAAAAAUUGAACCGAUUGCAAGCAAUAAAGCAUCAAAUUCACAACUGCACCCAUUACUAAUUACUAGUUAACAAACAUGUAAUAAAUGAUUCUGAACAUGUAAUACAUGAGUCUGAGCAGUUCAUAUCAAGAAGCUGCUAGAGAUUAAUCCCUUCCAUACCAUCAUAACCAACAGCUAAUGCUUAGCAUAAUUGAAUGAUAAACCAACAGACAAAUUAGCAUGUAAUGAAUAUUAUAAAGAUUAAUCAAAGACCAGAGGCAUAAAACACAUUUUUCCACCAACUAACUCAAAUCCAGCACCCAAAUGUACAUAACUAAAAUCAAUUCCAUUGCCGAUUACUUUAACACUGCAAUAGUGUGAGAAAUUGAUAGAUAAUAUGAAAAGCGAUGCUACCAGUACGAGUCCAAAGCUGGACGAGGGUGCAUUUGCUUUCCUGCAAGGCUGCAACCUACUUCAAUUAGAGCAUCAAAGAAACACAAAAAAUAUUUAUAUAACCAACAGUCUAAGAAAGUAACGCAUAUUUCAUCCUUGGGGAAAAUACCAAAACUUCAAAAACUUGGCAUUAUUUUCCAACAAUUUCUCAUCAACCAAACAAAAACAGAGUAAUCUCGUUAGGAAGACAGAAGAAAAAUAAAGGGGAGGGCAAGCGCUGGAUGCAGAGGUUUAUCGAUCGAUUCAUGUGUUUGUGCUAAUUUCACAACAAAAUCCACCAGGAAGAGAUCGAUGAACCGCUGCCUCCAGUGACUUCACCCCCAAGCCCCAAUCAACAACCACCAAAAACCGAAACAAACAGAAACAGAAACGAAAAAAUAUAAAAUAAAAAUCCAGAAAGCCAAUCAGAAAAUCCCCAAAAGAUCAGAACAAGUAAUUUUCCGUUAAAAAUAAAACGAGCAAUGCGAAACCAGCACAGAUCUGAAGAGAAGGUAUGUAGUUCUCCACUUCUGCUGCCAUGUUUAGGUUCAAAGUUUUGCAUAUGCAUGCAUUUGUAUAUAGUUAAUUUAGUUAAAUAGUGUGAAAGAGAAUUUGGAAUUGAAAGGGAAAGAGGUACAGAGAAAGGCGCGUGAAGCCGUAAACCAGAGGAAUCUAUCCAUUGCAGAGUCACCACGUCCGUACGUUUCUGCCACUGUCCUUCUCUCUCCCCUUCGUUUUGUUCAUAGAAGGAGAAGCCGACAGUCAUUAAAC
rnacentral:misc_RNA from 1 species